GAAGUCGUGGUGGCCUAGUGGGCAAAGAACCAACCUCUCGAGUAUGAGGGCGCGGGUUCGAUUCCAGGUCAGGCAAGUACCAAUGCAACUUUUCUAAGUUUGUAUGUACUUUCUAAGUAUAUCUUAGACACCAAUGACUGUGUUUCGGAUGGCACGUUAAACUGUAGGUCCCGGCUGUCAUAGAACAUCCUUGGCAGUCGUUACGGGUAGUCAGAAGCCAGUAAGUCUGACACCAGUCUAACCAAGGGGUAUUGGGUUGCCCGGGUAACUGGGUUGAGGAGGUCAGACAGGCAGUCGCUCCUUGUGAAACACUGGUACUCAGCUGCAUCUGGUUAGACUGGAAGCCGACCCCAACAUAGUUGGGAAAAGGCUAGACAGAUGAUGAUUUAUUCUUCAAAUAGAAGUUAUCUGAUGAUUGAUAAAUUGGACUUUAAUAGGAAAAUUUUGCGUCCCUUGUGUUUUUGAUAGCAAUAAAACAUUUUGAUGCAGGAAGUGUUAUAGACUUAUAGCCAUUAUGCUACUUUGUAAGGAAUGGGUAAAUUACAGAAAAGUAACUAUACUCUAUCCACGGAAGCAAGGGCUAAAAGGUAAACAAAGAAUGACAUUUUUUCAAGAUGGUGGUAUAACCCGACCGAUGACAAAACGUCAAAUUUUUGUGUAAAAUGUUCGCAGUAUCUGUGAUUUUGUCAUCGGUCGGGUUAUACCGCCAUCUUGAAAUAGUGUCAUUCUUUGUUUACCUUUUAGCUCUUACUUCCGUGGAUAGAGUAUAGUUCGUCUUUUAGAUUAACUCAAAAUAUUGAACCCGUAUUGUUUCCCCUUUGUUAAAAAUUUAAAAAAUUGUGUUAUGUCCCUUCUAGUUUUUUUUUUUUUGUAAAAUCCCCCUUUUUCGUACAGUUUUUUUUUAUUGAUGUCCAUGUUAUAGCUAAUCUGUAAGACUUAGGCUCGAGUUUACUGACAUCACAAGCGACCGGUUUUUCUUAAAACAACUGUUGGCUUUGAAAAUUGAAAGUGAAUUUUCACUGUAAACAGUUGAAUUUAGAAAACUGUCGCUUAUGUCGUCAAUGAACUUGGACUUUAUUAGAAUCACUAUUUGUUUACCGUGUUAGCAUGCCUAUUGUAUUCGUUCAUCCUGCGUCUAUUUGUCGAUGUUUAAAUGGUCUAAGAGAUGACAUUCCAUGAAUGUGUGCAGUCUUAGGUGAAAUGUCCGCGAGGGUGUGUGUAUCGCGUUGUGUUAAGGUCCGUGGUGGUUGCGCAAAGUUGCGCAGUGGUUGCGCAAAGUUGCGCAAAAUCUGCGCUUAUUUGCGCUAAGAUACUUUUGCGUUUUAGAUAGCUGCGAUUGAAAAUAACAAUUGAACACGGAUGUUAACGUAACGCCACUAUUUUAAGCAGGACUUUACUUAUACUUAGAUAAAAGCUGCACAGUUUCUGGUAGAAUUCUGGCUGUGUCUAGAUAUAGACUCUUAAAUCCGGACAUUAGGUUUCCUUAGAUCCUACAACUUAUGCAUGCAUCUUGUAAUGUUAUUUUUUUUUUAAUUAAAAGUAUACAUCUGUAAUACCCAUAAUAGAAAUAAAUUGAUAAGGUAGAACAAAAGUAACAUAUCUGAAUGGUUCGUGGCUUAGCGCUUGCCGCGGUUAGACCUUUGAUGGGUGACCUGCCUCAGAAAGUUUCACAACCAGUCUUACCAACGGGUAUGUCGUGCCCGGGUAACUAUGUUGAGGGGGUCAGAUAGGCAGUCGCUCCAAGAACAACAAACUUAGUUAAAUUUAAAGCCGUUAUAGGAAAAGGCUAGGCCGUCACCCAUCUAUUGAAAUACAUAAGUAAAGUCCGAUUUUGUUUUACUACUAGACUCGGCUAUGUUAAAAAUAUAACGUUGUUACAUUAUAACACUUAUUAGUUGUAUAUCGUAUGUAUAAGUUUAACUAUUAAUGUUCCCUAUCACGGUUGGCGUGAACUACUGAACUACUGUAGGAACUACAUCUCUGUUAUUUAAACUACUGACCUCUCUUUUGUCGUGUCGGAUUGCCGUCCCAUCGCGCUAUGAGAGUAAAGGAAUAGUGAGUGCACCUGUGUCUGCGCAAAUGCUCGUGCACUAUAAUAUGUCCUGCGCAGCUGGCUGAUCUCCUUAUAUGAGAACAGCCGCCGUGGCUGCAAACUACAGUUAUUUUCAAGUAUCUUUACCACUAUGAAAUUGGUAGUAAGUAAUGCGCAUUUUUCAAUAAUGUAUGAACAGAACACUGUUUUGGCGACGUUCCUAAUGGCUGAUUUCAGAGUUGCAAAGUUAUCUGACGAAUUAAAUCCUGGAUUGGUAUUUUUAUACUUUGGUUGUCUUUUGUGUUCCUAAAUUCUAAUAUAAAUAUGUUUUUAUUAAAAUAACAUGAAAACUUAUGCAGUUUGGUAGAAGUGUGAAGCGCAUGAACAUUUUUUUAAUUAUUUUUUUUUGAGAAAUGACUUAAAAUAAACAUUUGAGUAUUCAGGAUAAUUCUUAUUAAUAAGUUUUUUAGUUUAUUUCUUUGUCUUAAAUGAUGUUUGUCCUGAGUAACAGUAGUUCUGCCGACCGCUCUGUAUGUAGUUGUGAAGUGGAAAUAUAUUUAUAUAGUUACUGUAUUAAGUUUGUACGCAGCGCUAUGCGAUUGUAAAUACAAUAAAUUGUGAUUUGUACAAAGCGA
rnacentral:lncRNA from 1 species